UACAGAGGGGGCAAGCGUUGUUCGGAAUUACUGGGCGUAAAGGGCGCGUAGGCGGCCUUCUAAGUCGAACGUGAAAUCCCCGGGCUCAACCCGGGAACUGCGUCCGAUACUGGGAGGCUCGAAUCCGGGAGAGGGAUGUGGAAUUCCAGGUGUAGCGGUGGAAAUGGCGUAGAUAUCUGGAGGAACAUCGGUGGCGAAGGCGGUUCUCUGGGCAUACCUGACGCUGAGGAGCGAAAGUGUGGGGAGCGAACAGG
rnacentral:rRNA from 1 species